rnacentral:rRNA from 1 species
AUGGAUUGCGGGCUCGACGACAUGGGCUAUAUCAGUGAGAUCUUCACUUGGAGGAGAGGAGAAAUACGUGAACAUCUUGACCGGGCAGUCUGCAAUAUAGCGUGGGCAAAUAAAUUCCCUAGAACGGUGGUGAUCAAUGAAGAACAUGUCCACUCUAACCAUCGCCCAAUCGUUCUGGACACGGAAUAUUUGGAUGGA